rnacentral:ncRNA from 2 species
UGUAACCGUUAGGGGUGGCCGGAAGACAACCGGCCUGAGAGCAAACCCUAAUAACCUGAUCUGGGUCAUGCCAGCGUAGGGAAACGGGGACAGUCCAGC